CAUAACGGCAUAUGUACGUAUGAACAUUUACAUUAAAGUGAUUGCACUAUAAAAAUGGACUACAUUCUACGAAGAUGGAAAACAAGCGAGUGGAAAAACACGAUCUAUAUCUUGUGGUUUGUGAAUGGUCAGGUCCCUACGUACUGAAUAAUUUUUAUACAUGAUUUAUAUAUGGCUGCUAUUAGUUUUCGUUUUUCGUCUAUUGAUUACAAUUUUUGUUAACACUCUGCACUAUUUCAUUUUUUGUGCUCUACAAAAAUUUGCGUUUCUUUUGUACGAACAAAAAAUAUUUGCUGUGUCAAUAGCGUAGUCAGCCCACAUUUUUAUUGCUCCGUAAAUUUAAAUUUUUUAUACGACUGUAUAAGACGCACGAUCUGACUACGCUGCAUGUUAAAGUAGAUCAUCGGGAUCAUUGAAAACAACAAAAA